UUACAAAGGAGCUGGCCUCUGUACUCAACUGGGCAGGGGAAAAAAUACCAAGGACCAGACAAAGCAAAAAAGGGCAUUUAAAGAGACAGCGCUGUGCAGAUGCAUAUUUGAUGGCCUGGCGCAGCAGGUAGGGGCGAACUCUAUGUCUGAGUUGGUCUUUGCUCAAGCAGUCCAGAAAUGGCUCAGAUAUGCUCCAGAUCGUACGGGUGGCGCGCAGGACGCCCAUCAUCCAUCCCCAUCCCGGAGUAAAUAAUAAAAAGUGACGUGAAACAUAGAAAUGUAAAUAGGAAACUUUGUCUUUUAAUAAAGUAUUUUGCAAAUGA